AUGUGGCUAACCUCUGGUGUGCUUUUGCUGUUUGGACCUUUUACGGUGGCCGGUCAUCCUGCAGUUGUGCUCAGCGAUUCAGAUUUCGAUGAAUAUGGCGGCAGCAGUCCUCUGAUAGGUAUUAACAAAGUUCUGAAAGAAGUGGACUUCCAAACUCAAAAGCAGGCAGUUCCAGUUCCAGUUCCUUUGGGUUCUGCUGAGAAGUCUUUACUAGCUAUGCCACCUCAUCAAUCUAAUGAAAGUUUUCUGAAAGCUUAUGAAGUGGUGCUGAUAUUGGAUGAUCGAGAUACUUUCGGACCUCGUUCCAGAAGAAAAGUUGUUGAUAAUAUAUGCUCGCAGUUUAAUAUUCCUGUAGAGAUUAAACACUUUCCUGUUGGAGAGGCUCUUUGGAUUGCUCGCCAUAAAGAACUUGACACGGAUUAUGUUCUUGAUUUCAUUGUUGAAAGGAAAAAUGUGGAUGAUUUACUUGGCUCAAUUAAAGACAACAGAUAUAAAUAUCAAAAACUAAGACUGAAGAUAAAAGGGCAGCCCGGUGCACGUAGCUCCCGCUUGUGCAGGGUCCGGGGAAAGGUCCGACCGCUUUGGCUCUAUAGUACGCAGCCUUUCCCUAUAUUUCUGCGAGAGGCUUUUUCCAGGACUCGAUCCCAUGACCUCAUGGUCACAAGAAAUGUGGGCUAA
rnacentral:rRNA from 1 species